UACGGAGGGAGCUAGCGUUGUUCGGAAUUACUGGGCGUAAAGCGCACGUCGGCGGUUAUUCAAGUCAGAGGUGAAAGCCCGGGGCUCAACCCCGGAACGGCCUUUGAAACUAGAUAGCUAGAAUCUUGGAGAGGUCAGUGGAAUUCCGAGUGUAGAGGUGAAAUUCGUAGAUAUUCGGAAGAACACCAGUGGCGAAGGCGACUGACUGGUCAAGUAUUGACGCUGAGGUGCGAAAGCGUGGGGAGCAAACAGG
rnacentral:rRNA from 1 species